rnacentral:rRNA from 1 species
CCUAGUGGUGAUAGCGGAGAGGAAACACCCGUUCCCAUCCCGAACACGGAAGUUAAACUCUCCAGCGCCGAUGGUAGUUGGGGCCAACGCCCCUGCAAGAGUAGGUCGCUGCUAGGC